GAUGAACGCUGGCGGCGUGCCUAAUACAUGCAAGUCGAGCGAACGGACGAGAAGCUUGCUUUUCUGAUGUUAGCGGCGGACGGGUGAGUAACACGUGGAUAACCUACCUAUAAGACUGGGAUAACUUCGGGAAACCGGAGCUAAUACCGGAUAAUAUUUUGAACCGCAUGGUUCAAAAGUGAAAGACGGUCUUGCUGUCACUUAUAGAUGGAUCCGCGCUGCAUUAGCUAGUUGGUAAGGUAACGUCUUACCAAGGCAACGAUGCAUAGCCGACCUGAGGGGGUGAUCGGCCCACCGGGAACGGGAAACGGUCCCAAACUCCCACGGGGGGCCGCAGGAGGAAACUUUCCCGAAGGGGGAAAAGCCUGACGGGGCAACCCCGGGUAGGUGAUGAGGUUCUUCGGUUUGGAAAACCUUUUUUUUAGGGAAAACCAAUUGUGUAAGUAACUGUGCCCAUCUUGACGGUACCAAAUCAGAAACCCCCGGCUAACUCCGG
rnacentral:rRNA from 1 species